CCCACCAUUGUUAUCAAGCUUAAAGCUUGAUUUGCCAAGCUUUCACUCACCAAAACCCAUAGACCCCUUCACAAAAAAUUUAGCCCACACCAUAAGGAAGCUUUAGAUACCCAUAAGAAGAAGAAAGAUUAAAGUUUGAAGUGGGUCACAAGAGGUACUGGAGAUCAGUCCCAGCAGCCGCAGCAGCAGCACCAGUAGUGCACUGACAGAGCUCUGAUCAGAUCUGCCAUUGUCCAGAGUCACCUCACCGGUCUUUUGUAUUUUGGUAGGGCCCAUGUAUAGACUAGUAUUUUGGUUCAUUAUGUUUAGUCAUGAUGUAAUUACUAGUUUAUGAUGUAUUUCAUUUUGGACUUGAAAUGAAAACUUAUAAUUUAUUAUCUA